GACAGCAGCUGACAUGUCUGUAGUAUCCUGCCUGCAGCCCAUCAUAUACCAUCAUGUGUGGCUAUCACACGCUGUCUCCCAGCUCUCUGUAUGUUGUGACUGACACUCUGUCUCUCCAUUCUCUCUCUCUCUCUCUCUCUCUCUGUGUUGAGCUCCUACCUGCUUCUCUCCCCACCUCUCAACUAACUGUUGUGACCUAUUUCUCCACAAGUUGGUGAAGGUGAUACUGAUAUGUGUAUAUAUACGUUCAACUCGGCAUCAUUGAAAAUCAGCUUGUCUGGUUAUUGCUUAAUGAUUAAGUAUAAAUGCAGAAAAUAUGAAGGCAGUUUUUUAGUUCAAACUUGCAGGUGUUAUUUCUGUCAGAACACUCAAUAUUACUAUCCCAUCAUAUAUACUGACAAUAGGAAGUCUAGUGGGUGAAGUGUUCACUCAUCAUGUACAAUGUGUGAAGCCCACUUCAUAUUGGAAUGUGCGCUAUCACUUUAGAGCAGUGUAGGAAAGGAAGCUGUAUAGUUAGAGAAGCAUGGAAUGGGUGCUGUCUGUUUAGUACAGUAUGAGAAAGGGUGCUGUCUCUUUAGUAUGGUAUAAGAAAGGGUGCUGUCAGUUUAAAGCAGUAUGGAACAGGUGCUGUCAGUCUAAAGCAGUAUGGAACAGGUGCUGUCAGUUUAAAGCAGUAUGGAACAGGUGCUGUCAGUCUAAAGCAGUAUGGAACAGGUGAUGUCAGUCUAAAGCAGAAUGGAACAGGUGCUGUCAAUCUAAAGCAGUAUGGAACAGGUGCUGUCAGUCUAAAGCAGUAUGGAACAGGUGAUGUCAGUCUAAAGCAGUAUGGAACAGGUGCUGUCAGUCUAAAACAGUAUGGAACAGGUGCUGUCAGUCUAAAACAGUAUGGAAUAGGUGCUGUCAGUCUAAAGCAGUAUGGAACAGGUGCUGUCAGUUUAAAGCAGUAUGGAACAGGUGCUGUCAGUCUAAAGCAGUAUGGAAUAGGUGCUGUCAGUCUAAAGCAGUAUGGAACAGGUGUUGUCAGUCUUAGCAGUAUGGAAUAGGUGCUGUCAGUCUAAAGCAGUAUGGAACAGGUGCUGUCAGUCUAAAGCAGUAUGGAACAGGUGCUGCCAGUCUAAAGCAGUAUGGAAUAGGUGUGGUCAGUCUAAAGCAGUAUGGAAUAGGUGUUGUCAGUUUUAGCAGUAUGGGAAAGGGUGCUGUUUGUUUAGUGCAGUAUGGGAAAGGUGCUGUCAGUCUUAAGCAGUAUGACCGUGAAGGUCCGGGUUAGAAUAUUGAUCUUCAGUAACCCAUGCUUGUAGUAAGAGGCGACUAGAUCAUCACACCAUCCCAUGUUGUCAUCUCAGACAUGACAUCACAGGAUGUCAUCUCAGAUAUGAC